rnacentral:rRNA from 1 species
AUUGAACGCUGGCGGCAGGCUUAACACAUGCAAGUCGAGCGAGCGGCGGACUGGUGAGUAAUGUCUGGGAAACUGCCUGAUGGAGGGGGAUAACUCCUGGAAAUGGUAGCUAAUCCCGCAUACCCUCAUAUCUGCCCACAUGUGAUUAGCUGGUAGGUGGGGGAAUGGCUCACCUAGGCGACGAUCCCUAGCUGGUCUGAGAGGAUGACCAGCAACACGGGAACUGAGACACGGUCCAGACUCCUACGGGAGGCAGCAGUGGGGAAUAUUGCACAAUGGGCGCAAGCCUGAUGCAGCCAUGCCGCGUGUGUGAAGAAGGCCUUCGGGUUGUAAAGCACUUUCAGCGAGGAGGCGGUACUCGCAGAAGAAGCACCGGCUAACUCCGUGCCAGCCGCCGCGGUAAUAC